UGGUUGAUAGGAUAUGUUUAAAUGACAUUGAUAAUUGCUGUCAUAUUUGUAGUUGCAGCAUGUAAUUUGUUGAGUAUAAAUCUUUUAAGAUAAUAUAUAUGAUUGUUAAAUAAUGUUGAUAGUUGAUAUUGCAUAAUUUAUUAUUUUUGCAAUUAAUUUUCUUUUUAUCAAGAACUCGUUAUAUCAUGUAUGCUAAAACUUCAAGUUGGUUUG
rnacentral:lncRNA from 1 species